GAGCCAGUGAUGUAGUGGUUUGAGUGUUGGGCUAUGACUCUGGAGAUCAGGGUUCAAAUCCCUGCUUGGCCA
rnacentral:tRNA from 1 species